rnacentral:lncRNA from 1 species
GGUAUUCCAGGAGAGCGCAUGCGCAGACGCAUGGCCACAGACUGCCGGUCAGUGUCAGCAGGCGGUGGGUUAGGGUCCGCAGGCCCAGACCAGGCCGCCGACACCAAUAAGCUACAAGGAGGAGCUUUACCGCUGCCUGUACUACUACUGCCUGCGCUACUUCCCAGCCUGCGGCGUAGGGCGCAGCAAGGGCCUGACGCUUAGCGAGCAGGCGCUGCGCACCAAGCGGCUGUCGCCUGGAGGGCACGUUCAGGCAGAAGCUCCUCAGUGGCCACAAGUCCGCUAGCUCCGGCUACAGCCCUUGCCGCACACUCGCGUCACCUGAGCCUGUGAUGCCGAAGGACCUGUUCAAAGUAUUUUCUGUAACUCCAACUGUAACUUGGUUCUAGGAGGAGAGAAUCCAUGUUUGGUCAACAGAACUUUUCGCCGCCACUUAAGUUUACUGCUUCAAUAUCUUUUCCUUACUAAUUGAUUGUUAAUUAAGUAGUGUCCAAGUGAGUUAGCCUUUUUAGGGUUGAUUAAUUAAAAGAGCAGCAAGAAUGGCAUUUUAA